GACGAACGCUGGCGGCGUGCUUAACACAUGCAAGUCGAACGGAAAGGCCCUGCUUUUGUGGGGUGCUCGAGUGGCGAACGGGUGAGUAACACGUGAGUAACCUGCCCUUGACUUUGGGAUAACUUCAGGAAACUGGGGCUAAUACCGGAUAGGAGCUCCUGCUGCAUGGUGGGGGUUGGAAAGUUUCGGCGGUUGGGGAUGGACUCGCGGCUUAUCAGCUUGUUGGUGGGGUAGUGGCUUACGAAGGCUUUGACGGGUAGCCGGCCUGAGAGGGUGACCGGCCACAUUGGUACUGAGAUACGGCCCAGACUCCUACGGGAGGCAGCAGUGGGGAAUAUUGCACAAUGGGCGGAAGCCUGAUGCAGCAACGCCGCGUGCGGGAUGACGGCCUUCGGGUUGUAAACCGCUUUCGCCUGUGACGAAGCGUGAGUGACGGUAAUGGGUAAAGAAGCACCGGCUAACUACGUG
rnacentral:rRNA from 1 species